rnacentral:ncRNA from 1 species
CAGAGUAGAGAAUCCCGCGUGAAGUGCUGUCAAGAUGGGGAGUUGUGUGGCAGACGAAGGGCAGGUUGCCCGCGAUGGGAUUUUCGCACCCGCUGC